UGCGCAGGCGGGGCAAUAAGUCAGUGGUGAAAUCCUGCGGCUUAACCGUAGAACUGCCAUUGAUACUGUAGCCCUUGAGUAUAGUUGAGGUGGGCGGAAUAUGUAAUGUAGCGGUGAAAUGCAUAGAUAUUACAUAGAACACCAAUUGCGAAGGCAGCUCACUAAGCUAUCACUGACGCUGAGGCACGAAAGCGUGGGGAGCGAACAGGAUUAGAUACCCUGGUAGUCC
rnacentral:rRNA from 1 species